rnacentral:rRNA from 1 species
AACGAACGCUGGCGGCAGGCUUAACACAUGCAAGUCGAGCGCCCCGCAAGGGGAGCGGCAGACGGGUGAGUAACGCGUGGGAACGUACCUUUUGCUACGGAAUAGCUCUGGGAAACUGGAAUUAAUACCGUAUGUGCCCUUCGGGGGAAAGAUUUAUCGGCAAAAGAUCGGCCCGCGUUGGAUUAGCUAGUUGGUGGGGUAAAGGCCUACCAAGGCGACGAUCCAUAGCUGGUCUGAGAGGAUGAUCAGCCACAUUGGGACUGAGACACGGCCCAAACUCCUACGGGAGGCAGCAGUGGGGAAUAUUGGACAAUGGGCGCAAGCCUGAUCCAGCCAUGCCGCGUGAGUGAUGAAGGUCUUAGGAUUGUAAAGCUCUUUCAACGGUGAAGAUAAUGACGGUAACCGUAGAAGAAGCCCCGGCUAACUUCGUGCCAGCCGCCGCCGUAAAAC